AACGCUAGCUACAGGCUUAACACAUGCAAGUCGAGGGGAAACGACAUCGAAAGCUUGCUUUUGAUGGGCGUCGACCGGCGCACGGGUGAGUAACGCGUAUCCAACCUGCCCACCACUUGGGGAUAACCUUGCGAAAGUAAGACUAAUACCCAAUGAUAUCUCUAGAAGACAUCUGAAAGGGAUUAAAGAUUUAUCGGUGAUGGAUGGGGAUGCGUCUGAUUAGCUUGUUGGCGGGGUAACGGCCCACCAAGGCGACGAUCAGUAGGGGUUCUGAGAGGAAGGUCCCCCACAUUGGAACUGAGACACGGUCCAAACUCCUACGGGAGGCAGCAGUGAGGAAUAUUGGUCAAUGGGCGAGAGCCUGAACCAGCCAAGUAGCGUGCAGGACGACGGCCCUAUGGGUUGUAAACUGCUUUUAUAAGGGAAUAAAGUGAGUCUCGUGAGACUUUUUGCAUGUACCUUAUGAAUAAGGACCGGCUAAUUCCGUGCCAGCAGCCGCGGUAAUACGGAAGGUCCGGGCGUUAUCCGGAUUUAUUGGGUUUAAAGGGAGCGUAGGCCGGAGAUUAAGCGUGUUGUGAAAUGUAGACGCUCAACGUCUGCACUGCAGCGCGAACUGGUUUCCUUGAGUACGCACAAAGUGGGCGGAAUUCGUGGUGUAGCGGUGAAAUGCUUAGAUAUCACGAAGAACUCCGAUUG
rnacentral:rRNA from 1 species